UGCAUCACUGCGGCUUUUCAUUUUUACGAAUGAAGGCUCAAAAAAAGUCCCUCUUUGAAUUAAUAAAGCCGUCAACCGGUCAAGAAACGCACGACUUACAGAAACGGAAAAACAAGAGACGACAAAGAUACAAAGUGCCAGAAUAAUUUACAAUCUAACAAUGGAGCAGGCAAACAAAAAAUAAAAAGAGGAGUCCAACCUACUACACCAGGGCCUAACAUUUAGGGCCGCAUCCACAUUAUUACCGGGGUGAAAACAACGAGCAACACGAGCUUCGGUAACCACCAACUCUUCGCCUGCUCAUCAAAUAAACCAGCCAAUAAACCAUCCGAAUUUGGUAACCACCAACUCUUCGCCUGCUCAUCAAAUAAACCAUCCGAAUUUACCAUCGAAGAGGAACCCAAUCAUUUCGCCCACGCUGAGGGUGCCGUACCACUGGAAGGCAAAGAGCUCAUCCUAGAGCCGCUUGGACAAUGUCAACCGAGCAUCCCGGGCUUGAGGGACCAAUGAGCAAACCACCACCGCAGGGCUCCCAUGACCUCAUCGUCAACAAGAGCCAACCACAUCACUAAAUGCAAGUUGAACGGUGUCACACGACGAACAUUGGCGGUAGAAAAUAUGAAAUCGCUGCACACACUGCCAC
rnacentral:lncRNA from 1 species